rnacentral:rRNA from 1 species
AGAGUUUGAUCAUGGCUCAGAACGAACGCUGGCGGCAGGCCUCAAACAUGCAAGUCUAGGGGGUGUAGCAAUACAUCACCGGCGGACGGGUGCGUAACGCGUGGGAAUAUACCUAUUGGUUCGGAACAACUGAGGGAAACUUCAGCUAAUACCGAAUGUGUCCUAACGGAGAAAGAUUUAUCGCCAAUAGAUUAGCCCGCGUUCGAUUAGCUAGUUGGUGGGGUAACGGCUCACCAAGGCGACGAUCGAUAGCUGUUCUGAGAGGAAGAUCAGCCACACUGGGACUGAGACACGGCCCAGACUCCUACGGGAGGCAGCAGUUGGGAAUCUUGGACAAUGGGGGAAACCCUGAUCCAGCCAUGCCGCGUGAGUGAUGAAGGCCUUCGGGUUGUAAAACUCUUUCGCGCACGACGAUAAUGACGGUAGUGCGAGAAGAAGCUCCGGCUAACUUCGUGCCAGCAGCCGCGGUAAUACGAAGGGGGCUAGCGUUGUUCGGAAUUACUGGGCGUAAAGCGCGCGCAGGCGGUCUUCCAAGUCAGUGGUGAAAGCCCGGAGCUCAACUCCGGAACUGCCAUUGAAACUGUGAGACUUGAGUAUGAGAGAGGUGAGUGGAAUUCCCAGUGUAGAGGUGAAAUUCGUAGAUAUUGGGAAGAACACCGGUGGCGAAGGCGGCUCACUGGCUCAUUACUGACGCUCAGGCGCGACAGCGUGGGGAUCAAACAGGAUUAGAUACCCUAGUAGUCC